rnacentral:rRNA from 1 species
GCUGGCGGCGUGCCUAACACAUGCAAGUCGAACGAAGCUUGAUUUCUGAUUUUUUCGGAAUGACGAAUGAUAUGACUGAGUGGCGGACGGGUGAGUAACGCGUGAGCAACCUGCCCUUCGGAACGGGAUAGUGUCUGGAAACGGACAGUAAUACCGUAUAACAUAUAUUGAUCGCAUGGUCGAUAUAUCAAAACUGAGGUGCCGAAGGAUGGGCUCGCGUCUGAUUAGAUAGUUGGUGGGGUAACGGCCUACCAAGUCGACAAUCAGUAGCCGGACUGAGAGGUUGAACGGCCACAUUGGGACUGAGACACGGCCCAGACUCCUACGGGAGGCAGCAGUGGGGAAUAUUGCACAAUGGGGGAAACCCUGAUGCAGCAACGCCGCGUGAAAGAAGACGGUUUUCGGAUUGUAAACUUCUGUUCUUAGUGAAGAAUAAUGACGGUAGCUAAGGAGCAAGCCACGGCUAACUACGUGCCAGCAGCCGCGGUAAUACGUAGGUGGCAAGCGUUGUCCGGAAUUACUGGGUGUAAAGGGAGCGUAGGCGGGAUGCCAAGUCAGCUGUGAAAACUAUGGGCUUAACUUGUAGACUGCAGUUGAAACUGGUAUUCUUGAGUGAAGUAGAGGUUGGCGGAAUUCCGAGUGUAGCGGUGAAAUGCGUAGAUAUUCGGAGGAACACCGGUGGCGAAGGCGGCCAACUGGGCUUUAACUGACGCUGAGGCUCGAAAGUGUGGGGAGCAAGAAGGAUUAGAUACCCUGGUAGUCCACACUGUAAACGA